UACGGGGGGGGCGAGCGUUGUUCGGAAUUACUGGGCGUAAAGGGUUUGUAGGUGGCCUGCUAAGUCAGACGUGAAAUCCCUCAGCUUAACCGGGGAACUGCGCUUGAUACUGGAUGGCUUGAGUUUGGGAGAGGGAUGCGGAAUUCCAGGUGUAGCGGUGAAAUGCGUAGAUAUCUGGAGGAACACCGGUGGCGAAGGCGGCAUCCUGGACCAACACUGACGCUGAGGAGCGAAAGCUAGGGGAGCAAACGGG
rnacentral:rRNA from 1 species